UUUUGGACAAUGGGCGCAAGCCUGAUCCAGCAUGCCGCGUGCAGGAUGAAGGCCUUCGGGUUGUAAACUGCUUUUGUACGGAACGAAACGGCGAGCUCUAAUACGGUUUGCUAAUGACGGUACCGUAAGAAUAAGCACCGGCUAACUACGUGCCAGCAGCCGCGGUAAUACGUAGGGUGCAAGCGUUAAUCGAAAUUACUGGGCGUAAAGCGUGCGCAGGCGGUUAUGUAAGACAGAUGUGAAAUCCCCGGGCUUAACCUGGGAACUGCAUUUGUGACUGCAUAGCUAGAGUACGGUAGAGGGGGAUGGAAUUCCGCGUGUAGCAGUGAAAUGCGUAGAUAUGCGGAGGAACACCGAUGGCGAAGGCAAUCCCCUGGAGCCUGUACUGACGCUCAUGCACGAGG
rnacentral:rRNA from 1 species